UUUGAAUUUUCCUGCCUUGCUCAAAGCGCGCACCGGGGACCCUCGGGUGGGUCUCCCGGAGUUGCUCCCGAGCCUCUCCAGCUCCAGGUGAUGCCCCAGUUCACCUUCGCCUGUUUCUGUGGCCUCCACGGCUUCUGCAAGAUGAAGAGGAAGAAGGAAGAGGCUGGCGGGGGGCAGGAGACGGCCGUGUGAGGAGCGGCUCUGCCCGGACCCCUCCUGUCCCCUCGAGCCGGAGCCUGCCCUGACCUUGCUGAGGAUGUCACCCAAGUGUCACCCGGGUGUCACCCAGAUGUCACCCAGAUGUCACCCAGAUGUCACCCAGCUGCCGCUGCCACCCUGCCCGGACACCCCACCCCUCCCUCAUCCCACUGGGAGCGACAAUUCCCUCCUGAUCCAGCCCAGCUCCAGCAAUUCCCAGCAGACAGACCCGGAAAAAUCCCAAAAAAAUGGCCCAGAGCUCAUCCAUGCCAGAGCUGGACAGCGCAAGGUGCAGCUCGUCCUCCCCAUCCAGGAUUCCGCCAGAAUUCCUACAAAUCCCUGGGACACAGAUCCUGACGGAAUUCCUACAAAUCCCUGUCCAUGGAUCCCGCUGGAAUUCCUACAAAUCCCUGUCCAUGGAUCCCAUCAGAAUUCCUACAAAUCCCUGUGCCACAAAUCCCACUAGAAUUCCUACAAACCUCUGUGCCAAGGAUCCCACUGGAAUUCCUACAAAUCCCUGGGCCACGGAUCCUGCUGGAAAUCCUACAAAUCCCUGUGCCAAAAAUCCUGCUGGAAUUCCUACAAAUUCCUGGGACACAGAUCCUGACGGAAUUCCUACAUAUCCCUGAACACGGAUCCCGCCAGAAUUCCUAUAAAUCCCUGUGCUAAAAACCCCACCAGAAUUCCUACAAAUCUCUGGGACAUGGAUCCUGCUGGAAUUCCUACAAUUCCCUGGGCCAUGGAUCCCACCAGAAUUCCUACAAAUCCCUGAACACGGAUCCCACUGGAAUUCCUACAAAUCCUUGAACACGUAUCCCACCAGAAUUCCUAUAAAUUCCUGUGCCAAAAAUCCUGCUGGAAUUCCUACAAAUCCCUGCCCACAGAUCCCACUGGUAUUCCUACAAAUCCCUGUGCCACGGAUCCCACCAGAAUUCCUACAAAUCCUGCCAGGAUUCCUACAAAUCCCUGUGCCACGGAUCCCACCAGAAUUCCUACAAAUCCCUGGGACAUGGAUCCCAUUGGAAUUCCUACAAAUCCCUGCCAUGAAUUCCCAGCGUUCAUGGAAGGAGCCUCCAGCCACUGGGGAAGGCAGAAAGAUGAAUUUGUUCUCAGCAGCAAUAAUCCUUUUUUUUUCCUUUUUUAACCCCAUCACGCCAAACUUCCCUCGGAGCUGCCCCGCUCACGUUCCCACCGGGAAUUUCGGGUGCGUGUCCCCAGGCAGGGCAAUUCCUGCAUCCUGGGGGCAGCCAGGAGAUUAAAAAAAACCCAAAAAAACCCAAAAAAACCCAAAAAAAUCCCUUUUAAAAUAUUUUUCUCCCCAGAAAAUCACCAGGUCAAAGCCGUCCCUUCUCCCUUCCAUGGGGAGGAUUUUCUUCCAGGUAUUCCCAGUUUUCCUAUAGGACAAAAUCAUUUGUGGCUGCCCCCAAAAUCGGUGUUUUUCCCAAUGUUCUGGCAAGGACGGAGCUCCAGGUGGGCUCGGGGAAGCUCCUCAGCUUUGGGAAAACGCUGACUUUGUUCUGUUCCUGUUUUUGCACAUCAGCAGAGCCUCCCCUGCUCCACCUUUGCAUCCCCAGCGCUGCCCUUGGCGAGGACAAAUUUGGGAUCAGCUCUGGGCAAAAGAAAAAAAACACAAACCUAAA